UACGGGGGGGGCAAGCGUUGUUCGGAAUUACUGGGCGUAAAGCGUGCGCAGGCGGUUCGUUAAGUUCGUUGUGAAAGCCCCGGGCUCAACCUGGGAACUGCAAUGGAAACUGGCGGGCUUGAGUAUGGCAGAGGGGGGUGGAAUUCCGCGUGUAGCAGUGAAAUGCGUAGAGAUGCGGAGGAACACCGAUGGCGAAGGCAGCCCCCUGGGCCAAUACUGACGCUCAGGCACGAAAGCGUGGGGAGCAAACAGG
rnacentral:rRNA from 1 species